rnacentral:misc_RNA from 1 species
UUGUUUUUCAAACCGUCAGAUUAAGCAAUUUCGUCCACUUAAUUGUCACGUAAAGGGUCCGUAUGGAUUUUUUUACAAAUCUGAUCGGUUUUCUCUAAACGUUUCACACUAUAUAAAGGGCUCGAAUAUGGUUGAAGUAUUUCACAAGGUAAAAAGUUUCUUUUAGCUAACCUCCAUUAUGUUAUUACGACGCGAUCGAUCACUCCAAAAAUCUCAGGUUUCUAGGUAAUCUAGGGCUUCCCUACAGAGAGGUUUUCUGAAUUUUU